rnacentral:misc_RNA from 1 species
CAAAUGCUGGGCGUGCCGGGCGUAAGCCCGUCACCAUCAGCAGCCGGCGCUCCGGCGUCCGGCCCACAGAUCAUCCGACGGUGACCUAUCGAGGUUAAGAUAUGAUCGGUCCCGGCCCGUCCUGGGCCUCGGAGGCACGGAACCUGCGGAAGGAUCAUUACCGAGAGACGGGACCUAACCGGUUCCAACUCUUCACCCCUGUCUACCCUAAUAUGUUGCUUUGGCGGGCCAACCGGGCUUCCCCGGGGAAGGCUGACCCCUUCUCGUGCCCGCCGAAGGCCCCAAUAAACCCUGUGAUCAGUGUCGUCCGAGUAAAAACAAUCGUUAAAACUUUCAACAACGGAUCUCUUGGUUCCGGCGUCGAUGAAGAACGCAGCGAAAUGCGAAAAGUAAUGCGAAUUGCAGAAUUCCGUGAAUCAUCGAAUCUUUAACGCACAUUGCGCCCUUUGGUAUUCCGAAGGGCAUGCCUGUUCGAGCGUCAUUGCACCCCUCAAGCAUUGCUUGGUAUUGGGCCUCGCCCCCGCGGCGGGCCUGGAUUCUAGUGGCGGUCCAGCGAGACUUCAAGCGU